rnacentral:rRNA from 1 species
UACGGAGGGUGCAAGCGUUAUCCGGAAUCACUGGGUUUAAAGGGUGCGUAGGCGGUCUGAUAAGUCAGUUGUGAAAUUCCUCGGCUUAACCGAGUGGACUGCGAUUGAUACUGUCAGACUUGAAUCAGGUUGAGGUAGGCGGAAUGUGACAUGUAGCGGUGAAAUGCUUAGAUAUGUCAUAGAACACCGAUUGCGAAGGCAGCUUGCUGGGCUUAGAUUGACACUGAGGCACGAAAGCGUGGGGAGCAAACAGG